AUGUCAAUCUAUCCGUCUGCCCUCCUCGAUUUCUUUUCCCGGAACUUCUUAACUAAGUCAAUGCCAGCGGCCACUGCACCCAAGCCCUCAUCAUACGAUGUCAUCCACGCCGGCGAGCACACGUUAAAGGUUGCGGGGCACUCCAUGCUCAAAGAAGGCGAUACCAUGCUCACGUCCGGCCCCUUCAGCGUCGGCGGUCACGACUGGGCUAUCGCCUACUUUCCGAACGGCGACUCCAGGAUCGACGACGGGCAGUUCACGUCUGUUUUUCUCAAGUUGCUGAGUGCCAGCGAGGACGAGGUCACGGCGACCUACACCUUCAGUCUCCAGGAUCCUGCAUCGCCUGUGACCGGAGAGAAGAACAAACGCGGACCCGCCACCGCGAAGUUCUCGUCCAACCAGCUAGGUUGGGGUAUUCCUAAGUUUGUUAGUAAAGCCGAUCUGGCCGCGUCCGGGUGCCUCAAGGAUGAUUGCCUGGUGAUCAAGUGCACCGUCAAGAUUGUUACCACCAAACUCAUGAAAGACAAUGAAGACGAUGGCAAUGACGACAACAGCGUUGUCGUGCCACCCUCCGAUCUCCACAGCCUUCUGGACAGCGAGCUCAAGCCGGACAUGACUGUUAAGAUCGGUUGGUUCAAGAGAUUCAAGGUGCAUGGGCGCGUGCUCGCUGCACAGUCUCCGGUCUUUCGCGCCCUGGUGGAGAGCAAGAGAAACUACAUCCGCGUUGACGAUAUGGAUGUCAACGUCUUCGAGGUCCUGCUGCACUACGUGUACAAUGAGACUCUGCCCGACUUCAUGGAGGAGACCACGGAACAUGCUUUAAACAUGGCGCGCCAUUUGCUUGUCGCCGCUGAUCGGUACGAGAUAGGGAGGCUAAAACUCAUAUGCGAGAGCAAGCUUAGCAAGGCUAUAGAUGUCAACACAGUGGGCUUAACUUUGGAUCUUGCAGAGAAACAUAGUUGCCAGCAGCUCAAGGCUUGCUGUCUCAAGUACAUGCUAAGAGACGGUGAUAGACUACGAACCAUUGUGAAAACAGAGGGGUUCGAACAGCUUAAGCAAAACCGUCCACAUGUGGUGUACGAUAUUCUCAGUAAAGUUAUUGACAAGCUGUAA
rnacentral:rRNA from 1 species